rnacentral:rRNA from 1 species
AGAGUUUGAUCCUGGCUUAGGAUGAACGCUAGCUACAGGCUUAACACAUGCAAGUCGAGGGGCAGCAUGAUCUUAGCUUGCUAAGAUUGAUGGCGACCGGCGCACGGGUGAGUAACGCGUAUCCAACCUUCCCCUUAGUAGGGCAUAGCCCGGCGAAAGUCGGAUUAAUACCCUAUGUUGUAUAUUGAGGACAUCUGAUUUAUACCAAAGAUUCAUCGCUAAGGGAUGGGGAUGCGUCCGAUUAGGUAGUCGGCGGGGCAACGGCCCACCGAGCCGUCGAUCGGUAGGGGUUCUGAGAGGAAGGUCCCCCACACUGGUACUGAGACACGGACCAGACUCCUACGGGAGGCAGCAGUGAGGAAUAUUGGUCAAUGGGCGAGAGCCUGAACCAGCCAAGUAGCGUGCCAGGAAGACGGCCCUAUGGGUUGUAAACUGCUUUUAUCAGGGGAUAAAGUGAGGGACGUGUCCCUUAUUGCAGGUACCUGAUGAAUAAGGACCGGCUAAUUCCGUGCCAGCCGCUGC